UACGGGGGGGGCAAGCGUUGUUCGGAAUUACUGGGCGUAAAGGGCUCGUAGGUGACCAACUAAGUCAUACGUGAAAUCCCUCGGCUUAACCGGGGAACUGCGUCUGAUACUGGAUGGCUUGAGUUUGGGAGAGGGAUGCGGAAUUCCAGGUGUAGCGGUGAAAUGCGUAGAUAUCUGGAGGAACACCGGUGGCGAAGGCGGGUCUCUGGCCGAUACUGACGCUGAGGAGCGAAAGCGUGGGAGCGAACAGG
rnacentral:rRNA from 1 species